UACAGAGGUCUCAAGCGUUGUUCGGAUUCAUUGGGCGUAAAGGGUGUGUAGGUGGCGCCGUAAGUCAGGUGUGAAAUUUCGGAGCUUAACUCCGAAAACUGCAUUUUGAUACUGCGGUGCUUUGAGGACUGGGAGAGGAGACUGGAAUUCAUGGUGUAGCAGUGAAAUGCGUAGAGAUCAUGAGGAAGACCAGUGGCGAAGGCGGGUCUCUGGGACGGUACUGACGCUGAGACGCGAAAGCGUGGGGGAGCGAACAGG
rnacentral:rRNA from 1 species